AACUCUCAACCCCGCCUCAUGCUUUAUUGCGUGUGGGUAGCUUGGGCUUGGAUCAUGAUCUUUGCAGUAAUGCGCUAGCAGAACUGCUGGAUUGAAAUACAACAAGCUGAAUCUAUAUACUUGCGGCUUGACCUGUCGUUGUAAGCACACAAAUGCAUUCGAUGGGGACGCGAGAAAAUGGAAUGAGCUUUCCAAAUGUGUUACACUUUGCAGCUUCUAUUAACUUAGAGCUCUUAGUGCA
rnacentral:misc_RNA from 1 species